UACGUAGGGGGCUAGCGUUGUCCGGAUUUAUUGGGCGUAAAGAGCGUGUAGGCGGCCAUACAGGUCCGUUGUGAAAACUCGAGGCUCAACCUCGAGACGUCGGUUGAAACCGUACGGCUAGAGUCCGGAAGAGGAGAGUGGAAUUCCCGGUGUAGCGGUGAAAUGCGCAGAUAUCGGGAAGAACACCCGUGGCGAAGGCGGCUCUCUGGGACGGUACUGACGCUGAGACGCGAAAGCGUGGGGAGCGAACAGG
rnacentral:rRNA from 1 species